rnacentral:rRNA from 1 species
AUGCUACCCAAUGGGCUCCCUCCCUAUUCCGCUGCACAAGUACCAGCGAGAUCUAGGGAGACGGGGCACGUUGAUAUUGUCAUCAACCUCGCCGAGCUUGAUCCGGGGAGACCAGGGCCCCAGGCUUCCGUAGUGUUGGACGCUGUGGCCGUCUCCUCCCACCGGCGGGAGACGCAGGGCUUGUUGCUGGCUUACCCGGGAGGGUCGACAGUGGGCACGACCUGUAAUGCUUCCUGCUGGCCUCUCACGGCCUCCUCUGGUCCACAUCUACUCUGCGACUCCAAUUUGGUGGCAUUGAGAAAAGGCCUACUUUUUGUGCUCGAACUUCUUGCUUCUUCCCUUUGA